UACGUAGGGUGCGAGCGUCGCCCGGAUUUAUUGGGCGUAAAGGGCGCGUAGGCGGCUCUGCACGUCCGUUGUGAAAUCGCCCGGCUCAACUGGGCGGGGUCAGCGGAUACGGCAGAGCUCGAGCAAGCUAGGGGGCAAUGGAAUUCCCGGUGUAGUGGUGGAAUGCGUAGAUAUUGGGAAGAACACCGGUGGCGAAGGCGGCCAUCUGGACCGGCACUGACGCUGAGGCGCGAAAGCGUGGGGAGCAAACAGG
rnacentral:rRNA from 1 species